UACGUAGGGGGCAAGCGUUGUCCGGAAUCAUUGGGCGUAAAGCGCGCGUAGGCGGCCCUGUAAGUCCGCUGUAAAAGUCAAAGGCUCAACCUUUGAAAGCCGGUGGAUACUGCAGGGCUAGAGUCCGGAAGAGGCGAGUGGAAUUCCUGGUGUAGCGGUGGAAUGCGCAGAUAUCGUAAGGAAGACCAGUGGCGAAGGCGGGUCUCUGGACAGUUCCUGACGCUGAGGCACGAAGGCCAGGGGAGCAAACGGG
rnacentral:rRNA from 1 species